rnacentral:lncRNA from 1 species
AUGACCUCUGCCCCAUCUACCAAAAGAUUUCUGGGUCCCAACUCCGGAGGAAGCAAUGGUAACCCAGAGAAGACAGCCGAAGUAGAAUGUGGGCACAUCUGCUACACCAGGGACAGAGCAACUGUGGGUGAAGAGGGCGACGUCUGGUUCCUGGGGAGGAGUCCUGCCACUAUCAAUGACUGGGUGAUGAAGGCGUUUAUUGUCCUGACCCUACAGUUUCUGUCCCAUGACAAGGACCAGCUGAUCAAGGAGCUGCAGCAGCAUGUAACGUGAGUGACAGCCCCAUCCAAGUACCUGAGGAAGCAUCGUUUCAGGAUGAGUAUUUCAUGUCAAGUGUAUUCAAGGAAGAGUGUAAAGGAUCCAUGGCCUCAGUCACCAUGAAGACCCUCCCAAGAGCCAGCCCUACUGGGCACGUAUAAAUGAGUGGAGACAUGGAACCCACCCUUACAAGGCCUAAACCUGACAGAGCACACAAGACAGAAGCCCAGAUAACCAGGAGCAGGAAGCUGAAGGCGAGAGGUGGGCCCCAGAGGAAAAUGCUUUGUGUUUGUGGAUUUAUCACGCAGAAUGAAACCUUAGUUCUUAGUU